rnacentral:misc_RNA from 1 species
CACCCGCACGUACAGAUGGACAAGAAUAGGCCUCGGCUUAGCGUCUUAGCAGGCGAUUCUUCCACGGCGCUCGAAGCGCGUCGUGGUAUUUCGCGUAUUGUAAUUUCAACACGAGCGGGGUCAAAUCCUUUGCAGACGACUUAGCUGUGCGAAACGGUCCUGUAAGCAGUAGAGUAGCCUUGUUGUUACGAUCUGCUGAGGGUAAGCCGUCCUUCGCCUCGAUUUCCCCAGCCAAGUGACCGUCAGGCCACGGAGCUUUGCAGGGGAUGGGACGCCGGGGGUGCAGGGUAGGCGGGUGAGACUUGGUCGAAUCUGGCGCGGGAAGUGUAGGGUAGGAGUCUAGGGUAAGCCGGUCUGACUUGGUGAUUCUGCCGCGCCGCUGGUGGUGCGGAGGGUAUAGGGUAGUGGUAUAGGGUAGGCUGGCUGGACUUGGUGAAAUUCUGCCAUGUCCCUACUGGUGCGGUAGGUAUAGGGUAGGCGGAUCUGACUUGGCGAAACUCAGCGCAUCGUCUGUGGUACGAAAGGUGUAGGGUAGGUGUAGGGUAGGUACAGGGUAGGCUGGCUGGACUUGGUGAAAUUCUGCCAUGCCCCCAGUGGUGCGGAAGGUACAGGGUAGGUACAGGGUAGGCGGCUCCCACCCGCCUACCCUGGAGCUCAUCUUUGCAGCGCUCUGGCGCGCGCCACAGGCGUCGCCUGGAGGUGUGAAGACUACCAUUCGGAUCGCCGUCGGCAGCUCUAUGCGUAUGCUAAGUUUGAAAAAAAUGCGUGCAAAAUGGUUUCGCGGUUUGGUGGCCGUGAGUCGAUUUUUUUGUUUUCCCAUACAAAUGAAUUUUGCGGAAAAUGAAAAGUGGCCCGCGAGCCCCGUCUGGCGUGCGGCGCACUGAAAGUGCGUCGGUGGGUAUGUGAGGGGGGGGUUCUGGCCCGGCCGGGGCCCGCGCCGCACCCCAGGGUAGGUAAAAGCGAAAAAGUUGUUAAGAGGCGCGGUGGCGCUGUGCUUGUCUUGGUGGGAGAGAAAUUUUUUAGCCGGUCUAGGGUAGGCGGGCUGGACUUGGUGGUUUUGCCCGCUGGGUUGUGGCCUGGGCCUUGGGGCGCUGGGUGGUGUAGGGUAGGCCAGAUCUGGUAUAGGGUAAGCUCCAUUAGGUAUAGGGUAGGUCGGUCCCGGUAUAGGGUAAGCUACUAGGUGGUAUAGGGUAGCUCCAGGGUAGGCGGAUCUGACUUGGUGCUUUCGCAUUAUUGCAUCAUAGUGGGUAUAGGGUAAGUGACUCUUAGUCUAGGGUAGGCCGUUAGUAGGUGUAGGGUAGGUGGUCCCGAGGUCUAGGGUAGCUGCAGGCAGGCGGGCUCAGCUCGGUGCUCUCGCCCUGCUCCUGCGCCGGCUAGUAUAGGGUAGGUGAGGAUAGGUCUAGGGUAGGUACAGGGUAAGUCAAAACCAGUGUAGGGUAGGUCGAUUUUGGUGUAGGGUAGGUACAGGGUAGGUACAGGGUAGGUCAGAUUUGGUAUAGGGUAGGUGAGAAAAUCCGCAAAAAUCAGGGCAUCCCACCAAAUCUGGUCUCGACCCGUCAGAUGGCUCACAGCUCUAGCAAUCACCAGUUGAAAUUCCCAGACGGAUGGUCCGGCAGGGUCAUCUCGCCAACGGCUGGCCGCACCACCCCCUGGGGGGCACCAUCCGACGCGCCUCAACGAGACGAUCACAACGGUGUAGGCCACGGCUCGGUGGGACGCCUGCCCGAGGCGUGGCGGCCGUUUGAAGUUGGCGGAGGUAUAGGGUAAGUGGGUCCAGGUGUAGGGUAGGUGAAAUUUUUGGUCUAGGGUAGGUGACCUGGUCUAGGGUAGGUACAGGGAAGGCGGCUCUCACCCGUCUACCCUGGAGCUCAUCUUCGCAGCGCUCUGGCGCGCGCCACAGGCGUCGCCUGGAGGUGUGAAGACUACUGUUGGAAUCGCCGUCGACGGUUCUGUCUGUAUGCAGACUUUGAAAAAAAUGCGUGCAAAAUGGUUUCGCGGUUUGGUGGCCGUGAGUCGAUUUUUUUGUUUUCCCAUACAAAUGAAUUUUGCGGAAAAUGAAAAGUGGCCCGCGAGCCCGGUCUGGCGUGCGACCCACUAAAAGUGCGUCGGUGGGUAUGUGAGAGGGGGCAAACCAGCCAAGCCGGAAACGGCGAAAGCUGGGCCGCCCACCUACCUCUCAGUGGCUUCGUGCCGCACCAACGUACCUGAUCUUUCAGACCUGCACUGCGCAGCCGUCACAGUUCGUGAGGAGCUACUCGCUUACGGGCGGCUGUAGUGCAUGGUCGACCCCCACGAACGCGGCAGACCCGUUCUGCACGCCUACUGGGGAUACCUGUGGCGGUCAGGCUUGCCUGGCCCCCUCGGAUGGGCUCUGUGGAUAACUGGCCACUGGCCAAAUCUACAAACGAGCAGCAGGAGGCAACUGAGCAUGGCGGUUUCCCGCCAUGUGCAGGUCCUCCUCUUGGGGCUCCCAAGCUGCACCCCUCUGUGAGUGCGGCGGAAGGUGCCCUGGGGAAGUGAGAGGGGAAAAGCGGAUCGCCCUGCGCGGCGCUGCAGGCCCUGGCCAGCAGCGCUUCAGCGGGUGCGCCUCCGGGCGUAAUCAGUAACUUGGAAAUCUUUCCGGCGCCC